rnacentral:antisense_RNA from 1 species
UUCAGUGGUGGGCCUUGGUAGGGGUGCGCGUGCGCACGCCGGUUCCUUUGUGCCGGUCCGCCAACCUUGCCAUGCGCCCACCCCCUUC